rnacentral:rRNA from 1 species
GACGAACGCUGGCGGCGUGCUUAACACAUGCAAGUCGAACGGAAAGGCCCUGCUUUUGUGGGGUGCUCGAGUGGCGAACGGGUGAGUAACACGUGAGUAACCUGCCCUUGACUUGGGGUUACUUCAAGAAACUGGGGCUUAUACCGGAUAGGAGCUUCCGCUGCAUGGUGGGGGGUGGGAAGGUUCGGCGGUUGGGGAUGGACUCGCGGCUUAUCAGCUUGUUGGUGGGGUAGUGGCUUACCAAGGCUUUGACGGGUAGCCGGCCUGAGAGGGUGACCGGCCACAUUGGGACUGAGAUACGGCCCAGACUCCUACGGGAGGCAGCAGUGGGGAAUAUUGCACAAUGGGCGGAAGCCUGAUGCAGCAACGCCGCGUGCGGGAUGACGGCCUUCGGGUUGUAAACCGCUUUCGCCUGUGACGAAGCGUGAGUGACGGUAAUGGGUAAAGAAGCACCGGCUAACUACGUG